AACGAACGCUGGCGGCAUGCCUAACACAUGCAAGUCGAACGAGACCUUCGGGCCUAGUGGCGCACGGGUGCGUAACGCGUGGGAACCUGCCCUUAGGUUCGGAAUAACUCCCCGACAGGGGUGCUAAUACCGGAUAAUGUCUUCGGACCAAAGAUUUAUCGCCUUUGGAUGGGCCCGCGUUGGAUUAGCUAGUUGGUAGGGUAAAAGCCUACCAAGGCGACGAUCCAUAGCUGGUCUGAGAGGAUGAUCAGCCACACUGGGACUGAGACACGGCCCAGACUCCUACGGGAGGCAGCAGUGGGGAAUAUUGGACAAUGGGCGAAAGCCUGAUCCAGCAAUGCCGCGUGAGUGAUGAAGGCCUUAGGGUUGUAAAGCUCUUUUACCCGGGAUGAUAAUGACAGUACCGGGAGAAUAAGCUCCGGCUAACUCCGUG
rnacentral:rRNA from 1 species